GAGACCAAUUUGGCCUGGGGAGAACCGCCUUCAGGCGUUUGGACUCAGUGGAGGUUGUGAGUGCCCAGCAGUGUGGCCUGAAUCUCCGUGGGGUUUAGGGAGACGAAAGGACCCCAGAUCGACGUCCCCUCGUUCCCACUUUGGGGAUCGGCGCUCUGGCUGUUUCGUGAAGGAGAGAGAGGUUGAUUCCAUACCCUGGCUAUUGUGAAUAAUGCUGCAGUGAACAUGGGAGUACAUACAUCUGUUUGAGGAACUCAGAGUGGUUUUCCAGAUGGGAAUCACAUUGCUCUCUGUCCCUGAGAUCUUGCUGGAGACAGGGCUACUCAGUCCCUCUUUGCCAGGUAAUCUGUUCCAGAAGAAACAUGUGUCGUUCUGACUGAGCCCCUGCCUGUCUGUCACCUUAAGAGCCAGUCAAUUCAUAUGGUCCCCAUAUCAAAGUCUCCUGUGCCCAGAGAGAGGAUUUCAUUUCAACCAUCACCAUCACCACCAUCAUCAUCAUCACCAAGAGAUGUUGUUGAAUUGAUACUGGAAAAGCAGUUUCUAUUGAGCCCCCAAAUGAAGAGUGAGUGCAGAUGAAGAGGAGGCAGGACUCACAAGCCCUUGAACUUUAUUCCAGAUCUGUUAGCACCUACAGGACCCUGCACCAGGAUUUCAUCUGUACUAUCAGCUUCUUCAAAGAGAGAGAGGUUGUUGAAUUGAUAUUGGAAAAGCAGUUUCCCAUUGAGUCUCAAAUGAAGAGAGUGCAGAUGAAGAGGAGGUAGGAGUCACAAGCCCUUGACCCUCAUGCUAGACCCAUUACCACCCACAGGACCUUGCAGUGGGAUUUCAUCUGCACCAUCAGCUUCUUCAGAGAGAGAGGUUGUUGACUCUUCAUGUGGAUGUCUGAGCUCAUAUCAGGUGUCUGAAAGAGGCAGAUUCUGAGGAUUUGGGUCAUGAUGGCUGCCAAAGCUUCUACUCCUGACUUAAAGGGCAACAAUCCUAGGAGACCACCAGCACUUACAUCCCUGGUAGGACAUGACACCUGCUUAUGGCUCAGAAGUGACAAAAGAGAAUUAUCAGGAUGGCAGUCCUUAUAACCAGAUGCUUAUCAACAUUCUUCACUACAUUCUGAAGAUGAAUUUCUACAAGGGAAAUUGUUUAUAUUUGUUGUUGGGGAUAGAUAAGGAAAGAAGAAAAAGGCUCUGGUGAGAAACCCAUUGUACCUUCUGGAUAUGAUCACUACCCAAUUUUAUCAGUGUCAUUGAUCACUAACCCAGUGCCUCGUAUGGUGCCAGGCACAGAGUUACUCCAAGAAUGUACAAUAAUGGCUGGAUUCUCUUUCUCCCUGUGCAACUCUUCAUGCAUGUGACUGAACUUAUAUUAAGUGUCUGAAGGAGGUUCGUUCUGAGGAUCUGGGACAUGAUGGGUGCUGAAGCUUCUACUCAAGAUUUGAAGGGCAGCUGUCCUCAGGAGACCCCUGGCACUUCCCUCCAUGGUGGGAUGUGAUGCCUGAUUCCAGUGAGUUCAUAGAGCUGAACAAAAGUACGUUGUGGAAUAGCUCCUGUGAGGUUCACAACAUAGUCCGGAAGAUGAGAAACUACUUUUUUUAGUAACCUGGAUUCCCAUCUAAGAGAUGCCUUACUUUAUCGUAAAGCAAUGAGUUGUUCACUUGAGGAGGGAACUUCAUGUUUAACAUGUAUUUGCAACAAAUUUACAUACAUUUUCUGCCUGUAUGAAUAGUUGUCAGUGAUGCCCAUGAAUUUCUCAGAUGGAUGUUGAAGUAUACAGUUAGAAGGUUAGAAGAUCUUCCUAGCAAUCUGUGAUUACGGUAUGCAUUCUUCCAUGGUUUCUACGUUUUUGUCUAUUCUAUAAUGAAAUUUUCUAAGAAGCCAGAAAUUAAUUAAGUGCUACCUAAAAAUAUCAAAAUGUCAGGUACAAGAAUUUGGCAUUUUCAAAAUUAGUAAUUACAAUGUAAGUUUGCCCUAUUAUAAUGAUACCCAGCUAUGUCCAGUAACAUAACUAGAUUGUUCUGAAUACCGUUAUUAUUUCCCAAUAAUACAAACAUCACAAUUUCAGUUCUGUAGUACCUGGCCUACCUACCCUUCCCACUGCCUUGCCCCAGGUAAACACAGCAUGCCUGUCACUAUACAUUAUUUUACAUGCCUGGAAAUAUAUUUAAAUGGAAUCAUAGAGGUGGUUUCUUUUUUUUUUUUUUAUCAACACCUGGCUUUUUUCAUUCACUCCACUUAUUUUUAUAUUUAUCCAUUUUAUUGCAUUUAUCUAUUGAUAUACUUCAUUCUUUUUGAUUGCUAAAUACUAUUGCGGUAUACAACCACACUAAACAUUUUAUUAUCCAUCCAUUUGUCGAUGGACAUUUUGGUUGUUUCUCAUUUGGGGCUCUUGUAAAUAAAGCUGCUAUGAACAUU
rnacentral:lncRNA from 1 species